rnacentral:rRNA from 1 species
AUUGAACGCUGGCGGCAGGCCUAACACAUGCAAGUCGAGCGGAUGAAGGGAGCUUGCUCCUGGAUUCAGCGGCGGACGGGUGAGUAAUGCCUAGGAAACUGCCUGGUAGUGGGGGAUAACGUCCGGAAACGGGCGCUAAUACCGCAUACGUCCUGAGGGAGAAAGUGGGGGAUCUUCGGACCUCACGCUAUCAGAUGAGCCUAGGUCGGAUUAGCUAGUGGGUGGGGUAAAGGCCUACCAAGGCGACGAUCCGUAACUGGUCUGAGAGGAUGAUCAGGCACAGUGGAACUGAGACACGGUCCCGACUCCUACGGGAGGCAGAGGUGGGGAUUAUUGGUCAUGGGGCGAAAGCCUGAUCCAGCCAUGCCGCGUGUGUGAAGAAGGUCUUCGGAUUGUAAAGCACUUUAGGUUGGGAGGAAGGGCAGUAAGUUAAUACCUUGCUGUUUUGACGUUACCAACAGAAUAAGCACCGGCUAACUUCGUG